rnacentral:rRNA from 1 species
CCUACGGGUGGCAGCAGUGAGGAAUAUUGGUCAAUGGUCGCAGGGCUGAACCAGCCAAGCCGCGUGAGGGAUGACGGUCCUAAGUAUUGUAAACCUCUUUUGUCAGGGAACAAAGGGUGCGACGCGUCGCCGUAUGCGUGUACCUGAAGAAAAAGCAUCGGCUAACUCCGUGCCAGCAGCCGCGGUAAUACGGAGGAUGCGAGCGUUAUCCGGAUUUAUUGGGUUUAAAGGGUGCGCAGGCGGAAUGUUAAGUCAGCGGUAAAAUUUCGGGGCUCAACCCCGUCGUGCCGUUGAAACUGGCGUUCUUGAGUGAGCGAGAAGUAUGCGGAAUGCGUGGUGUAGCGGUGAAAUGCAUAGAUAUCGCGCAGAACUCCGAUUGCGAAGGCAGCAUACCGGCGCUCAACUGACGCUGAGGCACGAAAGCGUGGGUAUCGAACAGGAUUAGAUACCCUGGUAGUC